rnacentral:misc_RNA from 1 species
CAGAGAACUGCGCCCGCAAGGGUGACUCUCCAACCCUAUGUUAAUUAUACCUUUGUUGCUUUGGCGAGCCGCUUCGGCCACCGGCUCACGCUCGUGAGUGCUCGCCAGAGGACCCUAAACUCUGUUUAUACAUGUCGUCUGAGAACUACAUAAUAGUUA